UUAGAGGGAGGGGACAGAGGUUAAAAAGAAGGGGAGGGAGAGCUUUAGUUUGAAUUUGCACCUGGAGAGUGGAAGAAAUUGGGAGUGCUGUGAGGAUCUUCCUUCCCUGAGCCAGGGUUUCUUUCCCUUCCUUCUGCUGCUGAGUCCUACAAGGAUAGGUCUUGGUGGGUUUGUGUCCCUACUGCCUGAGUCCUGCGAGGUACAAGGACUCCUCUCCUCUUCCUCGUGCAGAAGGGCUCCCAGGGAUACCAAGGAGGUGAGGCUGAAGGCAGGCCCUGGGGAAGAGGGAGAUGACAGCAGGGCUGUACUGAGGCUGCUCACUGUACCAUGUGCACCAUCAUCCAACUCUCCUCCUUGCCCCAUCGGGCUGGCAGGGGCAUGCAGCACCUCCCUUUCAGUCAUUGCCUUGUCAUGGAAGCUCCCCAAAGGAGGGCCCUGGGGCUGGAAUACAGCCAAGGCCUAGCGGGAAGCUGGGGCGUACAGUCGCUGCUGGGUCUACUGCAGCCCUGUACAACAGAUCCCUGGAGACCCCUAAGCCCCUUGUAAAACAUCAGUCCUUGGCCCUGAAUCCUACAGUCCCCUCUCCUGUAGCUUCAUCUCCUUCACACCACUGUAGGGUCUGAGCUUGCCCAUCCCACAGCCUACUGUUACCCCAGCAUGUAGUCACACGUUGGCAGCAGAGCUGAGAGCUUGGGCAGCUUUUCUGGGAGAAGGAGUUUGACAGCGCAGUAACAUUACCCCGGAGGUGCCCCAUUCUUCGAGGCUGUGUGAGCUGGCAUGACUGGGAUAUCACCUUAAGAGAUUAGCGCUGUUUCUAAAGCUUUGAUGUUCAGUGCUCACAUCUGAUCCUCUGAAAUGAAUUUUCCAGGAGACAGGAUCUGAUACAAAGGAAUGAGAGAAAGUGAUGGCUGACACUAAAGGGAUUUACUGGUCGUAUUCCAGGUCUUGGAUAUACUCUCGAAACUUUGUGCAGUCCAGCAUGGUUCUCAAAGCAGCUCAGUGCAGGCCUGACUGCAUCAUUUCCUCACAUAGCACCUUGCUUCACCCCAUGGAUGUGACUUGCUGCUCUGUCCCUAUGCUGAAAUUAAAGGAAGGCACAUUUGAGACUGGACUGUUAUCAUCCAAUCCUGACAGAUGUCUUGUCCGCGCACUGCUAGGAAGAAGGAAGGGUAUUAUCAUCCCCCAGUAGUGAAGAUAAUGAGCUUCAAGGACUGUGGGAACCUGCAAUUGCAGCAGAACUGAGAUAUCUUGCAAAAACAUUAAAAGGACAACAGGAGAUCGCACUUGAGGGGAGAGGAAGUGCAGAACUAUGUAUGCGGCUACUUGAAUGACAAAGCUUUAUGUCAAGACUCAUUAAAUGCCCUGCUUUGUGCUUCUUUUCCUUUGCUAGGAUUAAUGUGUCAUUUGAAUGUUUUAUCUUGCCUGUGAACAAUUGUAUUUAUGAAUUCUGAAAGCAGAUCCAAAGUGGAGGAGCCACUGUACAGAGCAGUCGCAGUUCUUUCCCCUGCAGCCACAUGACAUUGAAAUACAACUGAGGAUCCCAACGACCACUGCUCCUAUCAGCUGGGGGGCUAGGCUGAGGUGAGCAAUAGCAGUAUCACUACAGAGAAUAGCAAUUUUAGAACUAAUAUUACCUGAUGAGGGCAAAAAUUUUUAAGUGGUUCACUCCUUUAGGCUCCUACAUGGCUUUAACUCAAAAUAAAUAAGGUCUGCUCUGUGGCCCAAAUGGGAGCUUGUCUUCGUGUCUUGUAAUAGAUGCACUUUUCUGCAGGAGAGGUAAAGCAGUAUUGGUUCUCUCAUCCCGAAAGUUUAAUUCAGUGGAGAGUGCACUUGGUGCUGCUGUAGUUGCACUGAUAGUUCUAUCCUUCCAUAUACCUAUUCUGUUUUGUAAGAUCAGUGAAGAAUGUUAGCAUUAUUCAAGCAUACAUGGCUUGAAGCUGUGUCAGGGGAGGGUCAGGCUGGAUGUCAGGAACAGUUUCUUCACCAAGAGGGCGGUCAUGCACUUGGACAGGCCCCCCAUGGCAGUGGCCAUGGCAUUGAGCCUGCCAGAGUUCAAGGAGCUUUUGGGCAAUGCUCUCAGACACAUGGUUUGAUUUUUUGGGUAGUCCUUUGGGGACCCUGGAGUUGGACUCAAUGAUCCUUUUGGGUUCCUUCCAACUUGGGAUAUUCUGUGAUUCUCUGGUUAUGCUUUAGGAUCACUAGGCAGGGACUAAAAUAUAUUAGCAAAUUAUCUGUUCUUGUUAGCAGGACAAGAGGUGAACAACAAAUAAACUGUUGCCUUCUGCUAAAUCAGCACAAACCUGAAUGUGUCCUGUUGUUAAUUGUUUAUGAGCUUGUUUUAAGUUUCCUGUAGCAGUCAGCUCAAAAUCUGCUAAUAUUGUUCCAAAACAUAAAAUCCUUGUUCUCUGCUGCUUUGUAGUGAUAUACAUCUGGGUAACGUGGGUGUAAAAUGUUAUUGCUCUGUCGUGGGAGAGCUUUACACCCACUUUUUGCUGGUGUCAAUGACUACACUUGCUAAGAGGCAAGCAUGGAAUCAAGCAUUUAAAAUAAAGUUCAAUAAGCAGAUUAGGCAAAGUUGUCAAAGAAAGCUGAGCUGCAUAGCUGCUGUUAAUGCCAGAAAUCAUGAUGUAUUGUUAAAAAAGCAAAUGUUAAUUGAACAAUUAAAAUCCCCAUUUACAAUAUGCAGAAAAGCCUGGGGGUUCUGCUUUAAAGCAAAGCUGAGUGUUUAAACUGAAACCAUGUCUGCCUUGAAAUGAAAUGUGGAAAUUUUCCAAACCUCUUAUUUCUAAGUGGGUGACACUGCAGUGCAGCUUCCCUUCCUUGCUGGGUAUGCUGGCCUGUUAGAAAUGUUGAAGCUGGAUGGUGCUCCACUCUUCCCGUGGUUGGAGAACAGUAUCUCUACUCAGCCUGUGUCAUCCUGCCUUGAGUUGGCCUUUUCACACUCUGGUUACUAGGAGGUUAGCCCUACUGAAACAGGCUAAUAAAAUCUCCAAAGCUAUUGAGACAGCCUUGGCAACCUUAAAGACAAGAUGAUCUUAACUACAGUAGGUAUGGUUCUCUAGGUUUUAAUGAAGCAAAACCAUUCUGCUUACAGUGACUUACUGACAACAUUUUUCAAUAGUUACUUCAUGAUAUAGCUUUUAUGUGACUUUUUUGCUGUAUUAUUAAGCAAACAGUGCAUUGUCAUGUAAACAUUUAACAGGCUGCACAAUGUUUAAGUACUAGAAAGAGAGCUGCACACUAAAAGGAGUGAAAAGAAAGAUACUGCCAUAUCAUCAUAGAUUUUAAAGAUCAAAUUAAAAAAAAAAGGCAAAAAUCAAGAUGGGAAUUAAUAAAUACUCACUUAUUGUUUUAGUGGAUAUGAAUUUAUCCUCUGCUGUCAGAUGAACCUGGGAAGCAGGAGCACCUGAGUUAAGAAUCCUGGAUGAUGCAAGGAGAAAAAAAUCCAGCUCUUUUCUGCACUGAUCACUUGUUGGUACACCCCUGUACAUGAGAAGAAUGGAUGAGUGUUUCAAUUGGUUUAUAAAGUCCCAUAUUCUGGAAAACAUAAAGGAACUUUGACUAUGGUAUCAGUCUUAGCGACCUGAAUCAGAGCAGAACCCAUGAACUGGGAGGGAGGAUUGAACAGAAGAGUAAUGUCUGGAGGGAACUAUUACUCCAGAAAAUUGUGAACCUUUCUUAAGGUACUAAAUAGACAUAUCUGGGAUCUUAGUGAUGGUACAAAACGAUCCAAUUAAGAGGUACAAAAUAUUUUUGUAACAAUGAAUGAGUACUGUGUUCUUGAGCUUAACAAUUAUUGAAUACUUGAAUUUUAAAUGAGAUUAAAAGAUAAUUUUGUACAUGAUCUGUAAUAACAGGUAUUCCUCUUAACAAAUAUUUUGAAACAGGCAGUCAGCCACAAUCAAAUACUUACUAUUAGAAAGGAUGGGAGAACUAGAUGGUUCCUGUUUACAACAGUUCUUUUAUUGUUAUGGAAGGUGACCAGAAGCUGGUCUUCACAGAUUCUAGAUCCAGUUUAGUGUGGCAAACUGAACUCUUUAACAACAGAAAGCCCUAAAUACUUCCCUCCUCUCAGAAUACAGAGUACUUUGCUCUAUAGAUUUUGCUUCAGAUGCAUCCAGCUUUUCCCAUUUUAUUCAGUAAGCAAUUAGAAAUGCACUUUCCAGUUUCUAGAGGUGAGGUGAUUUAUUAUUGCUAAGGGAUGAGAUACUAAGUGCCUAAACAAAAUAAGUAAUAUAGUUUCCUCACAGAGAUGAGGAAACAAUUUUCUUUUUAAUUAUAAAAAUAACGGAACCAUAGUAAAUAUAAAUCUUGUACUCAAACAAGAAAAUUAUAAGUACUGUUAAUAUCUUGCUUUGUUCUUAGUAUGUGAUACAAGUCUCCAAUUAAGGAAUUCUCCUACCCAUUUAUAUUAACUAUUUUUUGUCAAUAAAUAAAACUAUUUAUUUAUCUCUUAUAAUUUUGUUAAUGAAUAUAUUUUUUAAAAUUGUAUUAGUGAAAUGGACAAUUGAAUGUUGGUUAUUUACUAUAUUGCCUUGUCCAGAUACUGUAUCUACAGCAGUUAAGUACUUGUUGUGACUGGAAUGUAAUCUCAGUGGUUUGGGUUCUGUUGCCUCCAUGGAGCUUUCACUUCUUAAUGGCUUCAGAGACUAAUCUUGAGUUAAGAGCCAAACAUUUUUUCCUCUGCAUUACUGCAGUUGUGUUUAGAUUCGUGGCUUUUAAUGUCAAAAGGAAAUUAUAGCUCAUGCAUGCCCUUCCAGGCAAAAUAGCUCAUGCAGGGGACAUUAGAAUGACUUAGAGGAAGUCUGCAAUGAAUUCUGGAAUCAACUCAUCAUAAUUAUAAAGAAAAACAAAUCUUUUACCCCAUGUAAUAAUCUUACAUUUAAGAAAUUGAUAAUUAACUGUGAAACCUGGGAGCCUGUGUUUUUGCUGGUCAGUGAAAAUGAUGGUGGGAAAAAGUAUCCUCAUGACAGAUUUUUCCUGUCAGUAUGUAAGGAACAUCUAUUUUUUUCCCCAGUUAUCUGCUCUGGCAUGUGAACAAGGUUACUUGUGCUUACGUAUCGUAUUUAAUGCUCACCCUUCUGACUUUGUCACCCAGUGAGGAAGUCAAAACAAUACUCCCUCUUAUGUGACACCACAGACAUGCAAGUAUUCUAAGGUAAAAGCCAAGUGUACAUUUCUCAAAAUUAUGGCCAGAUUGUUUCCGACAAUUAUGAAUAACAAAUAUAUCAGUAAAACAGUUUGCACAUUUUUUGGGGGAGAAGGGGCUCAUAAAAGCCAAAUUAAUCAUUUGAUCACAGUGAACAGUUCACCUAGUAGCAGUUGUAAUCCUGCACUUGUGUUGUCAUAGUCACAAUUCAAAUGAGAUGUUUGCAUUAGGCCUAGUUAUGAAUCCAAGUUUUAAGUUUCGAUUUAUGGUAGUGUUUUCUGUCUUAAAGUGUGUAAAUAUUCAAGUAUUGGAAUUUGUUAUGAUACAUUUGAAGAAAUGGCAGCUGAAAAGUAAAAAUUCUAUUAAUCCAAUGAUUUUGUAGCUCACAGGUUUAAUAUUAACAAUUGAAAGUCCUUUAAAUUUUCCUCAUUUCCUUCUUCCAGUACCUCCUUUUUCUUGCCUCUUUUUUCUAGCAGCUUCUCCAGGCUUCUGCUAACAUCAUCACCUCCCAUAAUGUCUAUGAGAAAAAUACAUUUCAACUGCUGACAUAAAGGAUAUUAAAUUGGAGAGUGGUCAAUCCAAGUGAGUUUUGUGGUGAUUACCAAUUCCUUUUUGUCACUAACUUAUAAUCAUUUUGAGUAAUUUAAAUAUAUCCCCGUGCAAGUAAUAUUCUUUUCAUUUUCUCUGAAGACACAAAAAUUAUUGGUUAUUUCUAAAAACUUGCCAGCAACUUCCACCUUUGGUAGCCAGUGUCUGAUUAAUACCAAUAACGCAGAGAAUUCAUUUUCUCUUAGCAGAAGUUUCCUGCUGUUCCCAGUGCUCUCGCUGUUUCCCUUGGCCCUUCUUCCCCCUGUGUACAAAUAGUUGUCUCAGCAGCCAUGGAAUAAUUGUUCUGCAUCUCCCCAGAACAAACUGUGAGUCUGCUGUAUCACUCAAACUCCAUUUUUUGAAGGCAAAAAUGUGAAAAAAAAACAACCAAAAAUGUGAAAAAAAAACCUACCAUUUGAAAUAAGUCUGUUUUGAGCUUGUCCAAUCUCUUAAUUAUUUGCAUUCAUAAAGGUUCUUGGAUAUUAAAAAGAAGAAGAAGAUAUUUCCCCACCUUUAUUCAAGGGUUAUUUAGGUACUCUGAUAUGAACUUGUUCAGAAUAAAUCAGAAACGCUGAAUAUCUAAGUGCUUACUUGAAAACACGUUGAAGCACCUUAAAAACCUGUUCACCUCCAAUGCUUUACAUGGAUUUUUGAGAGACUGACACAUGAUUAAUAUCAAUUAUUAUUAAAAAAUUACCCUCCUCAUUGGCUACACAAAUAUGGAAUUCCAAUUUUGAGAAUUAUGUACAGUUACAUAAAGACAUAAUUUGUAAGAAGACCUGGGCAACCAGGAAAAACUGUUUUGAGGAUGGUGUUUUGUGUGCACUUUUAAUGUAUACUGAUAAUAUUUUGAAAUGUGAUAUAGUAAUGCCUGCAGACAAACAAAAGAAAAAAAAGUCCCCUUCAAAAAAUAUUUAUUUUUCCAAGUUUAUGCCUCACAAUAGUUUCCAGUGAAUUUAUUGGAAAGUACAUUAGAAGAAGAUUAAAAAAGCAAUAAAAACUCCAAGGAAACAGGAACAUGACAACCAAGCAAACUAUUAUUCCCCAAGAUCUAAGAAGACCCAUAGCUCCUCCUUCAUGGUAAUAAUCCUGCACACAAUAAUGGAAAGAGAAGCUAAAAGCUUUGAGCUUUGCCAAGAAGGAUGCUCCAAGUACUGAUAAUUUCUUGGUUUAGGGGGAAAGGUAUAAAUUUUCAUGCUUGGUCACUGCCAUGUUCCAGACUACACUUAGGAAAGAGCUCACCAGGUUCAGCUGAUGACAGAAAGAAAAGUAACAGAAAAGGUCUCAGAAAAUGACUGUUUGCAUUCAAAUGCAAAAUGCAACUAUGGGGGAGAUUUUUCCUAUAAUUAGACAGUGGCUUAAUUUUGGGAUUGUCUUUGUAUUUUAUUAUAACUAAAGUUCUCAUAAAACAGAAAAAACUUCACUGUCAUUGUAUGCCUAUGUGAAUGGUUGUUUGCGAAGUGAUUUUCUAGAGUACAGGAUGUGUACUUAAUGACAGACGUGCAGCUAAUAUUUAUAUAUUUUAUGUGUUCAGGAUGAGCACUACUGAAGAAAAAUGCAGUAUAUUAUUGAACUCUGGGGAAAUCAUGAUAGGCAUAUAACUAUGUGGUCUUAGUUAUAAUUAUGCUUCCUUAACCUCUACUAAUCUGCAAUGAAAUCACAUUUUAAAUUCAAUUGGGAAUCAAGUUUACUCAUUUUAUUCAUUUUCCUUGUCACAGUUGGAACCUAAACUGGCACAGAUUUUACACUGCAUCUAUUUCAUUGACCACAGUGGUACUCAUUUAUGACGUGAUAGAAGAUGCAGUCCUUUUAGUUUUACACAAUUUAGAAUAACGUGUUCAGACAAGAUUGGUAUCUGGCUGGUGGUGACGUGAAGGUCUGACAUACUGUAACAAAGAACAGUGUGAGGAAGAAAGGACAGUACCAUUUCAUUCCCAUUGGUAUUGCCUUAUUCUGUGCUUCUAGGAAGACAAAGUUAGCAUGGUGAUAUAUUCUAGUAGAGAUGGAAAAGUAAGAAACACUUGGGAGUUACCUUUAUGGUACUGUAUACUUGAUGUUCAUGGUACUUGCUAUUAUUUCAGACAGCAGACAAUGUUUGUUUUAUGUAGAUUAUUAUUUGAGUGGGUGCAUACAAACCUAUCUAUGAAUUUUCUCCUAACAUAGUAUUAAGUUUCAUAAUGUAGAUGAUUACAAUUUAUGAAAUUAAAGUGAUAAAAUACUUACAAUAUUGUCUACAUUAUUUUGAGAAUCUUGCUGGGGUAUCUCAGAGGCACUGUUGCACUGGUGCUGCUAUACUGGCUCUGCAUCACUCCAAGAAACCUGUUUGCAUCACUCCAAGAAACCUGUUUUCAGUGAAGACUGGUAAAGGCGUGUUAUAGAGGGGCAAGAAACCCCAGCAGCAAAAUGCACCAAGAUACACAAUGUGUCAUAGUGAUAAUGACAAACAUGCACUGAGAUUUUGAAUGGGGUAAACUUUGAAUUGGGUUGUGAGAGAAACACAGUGAGAACAAGGCAACAAAGGGAGCACUACAUGGGGAACAGCAGGCUGCACAUCAUGUACAGAAAUUUAUUGUAAAAACAUUUCUCAUCUUUCCAGAUGGGUAGAGUAAGCGUCACAUUUUGAGUGGAAAAAGAAGAGGCACAUACAUUGUAGCUGAGUGGUGUGGGUGAGGUAACACAGAACGAGUCAAACCUACCUCCAUGGCUUAGGAAUUUACUUUGUUUUGGCCUUUUUGUGUGUGCACUGAUUUUAUAUUCCAUGCAUACUUUGUAACUAUAUGCAAUAUUCAUUGUGUACAUGUAUGCAUAUAGUAGUCUGUGUAUGGACAUAUGAAUAUUAGUUCUUGAAGGAUAAUCUAACAAGAAGCUCUCAUUUCAAUG